AAACAUAUUAGGGGGGCAUUUUCUAGUCAAAUCUUUGAAUCUUUCCCAUGCUUCAUACAAGGUUUCACCAUCCUGCUACCUGAAUGUUUGAACCUCUACUCUCAGCUU